CCCCAGCCACAGGUCCUCCAAGCACAGAAAGCCUUCCAGCUGCCUGAGGAGAGGAGUGGAAGCAGAAAAAAUCCUCGAAGUGUUGCCAUCUUGGGAGCAUUAUUCUACCAGACCUAUGAAGUGGAAGGUCGAAGGAGCUAGCUGGCCCUUGGCUGGUGUGUGCGUCUUGAAUCUAAAUACCAGAAGAGUCACAAGAGAGGACAAAAGGACACAGAAGUGCAACAGAAAGGAGCUGAACUCACAACCAGGGGAGAGCUGCUCUCCAUGGGAUGCAGAGUCCUGUGGAAUCAUUCUGUUGGCAGCUAGCAUCCACCUCAAAACACUGAAAGCUGCUGAAAGGCCAUGUGAGGUCCUGCACUGAUGCAGAGCUUUAGCUCCUGACUCCAUCACAGGCUCUUUGCAUGAUGUCAGCACAGAGACAUUUCUCUUCCUGCCUCUACUCAGCAUUCAGGUGAGAAUCCAUUCGUGCUGAGGCAACAGAGCAGAAUGGGAGCCAGACUGCUGAGGGAUGCUGAGGAGAGCAUGGCUUUCAGGUGCAUCUGCCCUGUGCCCAGGGAGGGAGGCAGAGAACAGGCUUCCAAGCUCCUUGAAGUGGUACCAGAUGUUGUCCCACAGCAGCCUCCUGGCUGGUGUUUCUUGGCAUUACUGACGUCUCUCACUCCAGCCUACUUCAGGAACAGCUCAACUGUCGGCUCUCAAGGAGCAGGUCUGGGAUGUCUCUUCAUUUCCACUGUGGAGGGAAUGGCCUGGAGCAGCACUGUCAAGCACUCAAAAAAAAAAAAAAUCCCCCCAAAAAAGGAGCAAGAAAAUUAACAGGUCAUACUCCCAAAUGAUCAAGUGAGGAGGAAAUUGUUCCCCACUGGUAAUUGUCUCUUGCAUUGCCUUGAAGUGAGCGUGGAGCCAGACAAGGCGUAGGAUGUCUUCAGUGAUUCUUCUGAGAGUUUUUUCCUACCUUAGAGAGCCCUUUCUGUCUGUGUGAGAGCCUCAUUUCAAGAGGAGACCAGGUGAUUCAGGACAGAAAGUGUCCACAUGUGGAGCAUGGAAAAAGGAGGAAGAAAAGACAACUUAUUUGAUCUGGCUGUUUUAGUAUGGAUGGUGUGCUUGAAUAGGUGGUAGGGUGCCAGAACAGAAGGGAUGACAGUGUUGCCACUGUGCAUAAAUACUUUGGGCCCAGAACAUAAAGGCCAGCUUUUUCAAAGGGGGGGUCUAAAGUUAGGAACCUAAAUCUGUCCAGGAGCACCGUUAGACUCCCUUAAGAAGCCUGGAGAGCCUCAGUGCUUGUGGAGAACCAAGACACUGAUGUAAGUGACUGGAAAUUUCUGCCCCUACUUGGGUGCCUAAUCCUGCUGGGGGGCUCUGCCAAAAAUUCCAGCACCACUACCUGUGUUUGAGCAUCCAGAUAGGAUGAAGCUUAGCUGAGGGGGAAGUAAAGUGGAGCUCGUUCUCGCUUUGAAGAGACACUGCUUCUAAAUCUGCCUCUUUGGGGUGGAGGCUGCCUGGAGUAUAAAUCAAUGGCCACACUGCAUAUGUAUGUUGUAAAUAAGCUUUGGAGAGCAUCCAAGGCAAGCAGCUUCCUGGCUGAGGCGCCAGGAGUUGAACCCAGCCUCUGCGAAGUCUAAAGCGUGAGAUAAGAUAGCUUGGGUUAAAAAGCUAACGAUCUGUAGCUGGGGGCUGCAAUGACCCGUAGCUUCCCCCAUUUGGCCAUUCAGGCUUAGCAACAUUUCCUCACUAGUUUUGGGGACAGCUGUGUCUUUAAGAGGCUCCAGCCUGAACCAGUUGGAAAAAGGGUUGAAAAUGCCAGAUCUCUGACAAAUUCACUGAACACCUCUGAGUCCUUCUUUGCAGUCAGCUCGACAGCCACCAACAAAGCACUUAAAAUUAGCUCCCAGCACCGCAGAGAUGUCCCUGUAGGCAGAGGAGGGGACAUCAUGGGCACUGAGUUUUCUGCAGAAGCUGGGUUUGGAGAACACUGCCACCCCCACCACGGGGUUCAUGGCUCCCUCGGGGCCCCUCUUUUGUUUAGCAAUGCUGCAUCAAACUGGAUGUGCAGCACAGUCCAAGGAGCUUCACACAGGUCAGUCUGCUCCUCGGGGCAGCUCUGGCAGAGGACAG